rnacentral:lncRNA from 1 species
GAAAACUCCAAAAAGAUAGUCAAGUGCACUCAAUUUACUAGCAAUUGGUUCCACAUAAGUGGAUCUCUUAAAUAGAUUAGCAAGUGGAUGAGGAUCCAUAUCACUAGAUUUUCAGCAAGCAAAGAUGCAAGCAUAUUGAAGGCACAUAGCACACAAGCAAAAGGCAAACGAGAGAAAAGGGCAAAUGAAAAGGCGAAAGGAAAACAAAAAAGGAAAA